UCCUCCCUCUGUCGGCGUGCUUAACACAUGCAAGUCGAACGGAAAGGCCUGCUUUCCCUUGUGGAUUGCGGGUGCUCGAGUGGCGAACGGGUGAGUAACACGUGAGUGAUCUGCCCCCAACUUGGGUAUAAGCCUGGGAAACUGGGUCUAAUUCCCGAUAGGACUGCAGGGUGGUGCCUGUGGUGGAAAACGAUUUUCUAGUGGUUGGGGAUGAGCUCGCGGCCUAUCAGCUUGUUGGUGGGGUAAUGGCCUACCAAGGCGGCGACGGGUAGCCGGCCUGAGAGGGUGGACGGCCACAUUGGGACUGAGAUACGGCCCAGACUCCUACGGGAGGCAGCAGUGGGGAAUAGUGCACAAUGGGCGGAAGCCUGAUGCAGCGACGCCGCGUGGGGGAUGACGGCCUUCGGGUUGUAAACUCCUUUCGACCGCGAGGAAGCCACCUGGUUGGAAGGGUGGUGACGGUAGUGGUAGAAGAAGCACCGGCUAACUACGUG
rnacentral:rRNA from 1 species